CAGUCGCCGCGGUAAAACGUAGGGUGCAAGCGUUAAUCGGAAUUACUGGGCGUAAAGCGUGCGCAGGCGGUUCGUUAAGACAGAUGUGAAAUCCCCGGGCUUAACCUGGGAACUGCAUUUGUGACUGGCGGGCUAGAGUAUGGCAGAGGGGGGUAGAAUUCCACGUGUAGCAGUGAAAUGCGUAGAGAUGUGGAGGAACACCGAUGGCGAAGGCAGCCCCCUGGGCCAAUACUGACGCUCAUGCACGAAAGCAUGGGGAGCAAACAGGAUUAGAUACCCCUGUAGUCCCUGUCUCUUAUAC
rnacentral:rRNA from 1 species